CUAGUAGUGGCAACCAGCUUGCGUCCGUUUCCAUGUUGUGGGAGAUUUGUUCUUUCGCUCUUUGUGGUAAAUCUUGCUACUGCUCACUCUUUGAGUCCACACUGCUUUUAUGAGCUGUAACACUCACCGGGAAGGUCUGCAGCUUCAAUCCUGAAGCCAGCGAGGCCACCAGCCCACCGGGAGGAACGAACAACUCCAGACGCACCGCCUUAAGAGCUGUAACACUCACCGCGAAGGUCUGCAGCUUCACUCCUGAGCCAGCGAGACCACGAACCCACCAGAAGAAAGAAACUCCGAACACAUCCGAACACCAGAAGGAACAAACUCCAGACGCGCCAACUGUAACACUCACCGCGAGGAUCCGUGGCUUCAUUCUUGAAGAUGCAGCAGGAAGAUGCCCUCUUGGAAGCACAGACAAGGCCCUCACCAGACACU
rnacentral:lncRNA from 1 species